AAUGAACGUUGGCGGCGUGGAUUAGGCAUGCAAGUCGUGCGAGAAUCGUAGCAAUACGAGGAAAGCGGCGAAAGGGAGAGUAAUGCAUGGAUAUCUACCCUCGGGUCUGGGAUAGCUACGGGAAACUGUAGGUAAUACCAGAUGACAUCUCCGGAUCAAAGGUGUGAUUCCGCCCGAGGAGGAGUCCAUGUCCUAUUAGCUAGUUGGUGAGGUAACGGCCCACCAAGGCUGAGAUGGGUAUGGGGUGUGAGAGCACGACACCACUCACUGGGACUGAGAUACUGCCCAGACACCUACGGGUGGCUGCAGUCGAGAAUCUUCGGCAAUGGGCGUAAGCCUGACCGAGCGACGCCGCGUGCGGGAUGAAGGCCUUCGGGUUGUAAACCGCUGUCAGUGUGGAGGAAAUUCCUAGGGGUAAUCUCCUAGGACUGACCUAUACGCAGAGGAAGGAUGGGCUAAGUUCGUGCCAGCAGCCGCCGCAG
rnacentral:rRNA from 1 species